CCUACGGGGUGCUGCAGUGGGGAAUAUUGGACAAUGGGCGAAAGCCUGAUCCAGCCAUGCCGCGUGUGUGAAGAAGGCCUUCGGGUUGUAAAGCACUUUCAGUGGGGAAGAAAGCCUUGGGGCUAAUACCCUCGAGGAAGGACAUCACCCACAGAAGAAGCACCGGCUAACUCCGUGCCAGCAGCCGCGGUAAUACGGAGGGUGCGAGCGUUAAUCGGAAUUACUGGGCGUAAAGCGCGCGUAGGCGGUCUGAUAAGCCGGUUGUGAAAGCCCCGGGCUCAACCUGGGAACGGCAUCCGGAACUGUCAGGCUAGAGUGCAGGAGAGGAAGGUAGAAUUCCCGGUGUAGCGGGGAAAUGCGUAGAGAUCGGGAGGAAUACCAGUGGCGAAGGCGGCCUUCUGGACUGACACUGACGCUGAGGUGCGAAAGCGUGGGUAGCAAACAGGAUUAGAUACCCUGGUAGUC
rnacentral:rRNA from 1 species